rnacentral:rRNA from 1 species
CCUACGGGUGGCAGCAGUGGGGAAUUUUGGACAAUGGGCGCAAGCCUGAUCCAGCUAUUCCGCGUGUGGGAAGACGGCCUUCUGGUUGUAAACCCCUUUUGUAGAGAACGAAAAGUCUAUUGAUAAUACCAAUAGAUGAUGACGGUACCCUAAGAAUAAGCACUGGCUAACUACGUGCCAGCAGCCGCGGUAAUACGUAGGGUGCGAGCGUUAACCGGAAUUACUGGGUGUAAAGGGUGUGCAGGCGGGUUUGCAAGCUGGAUGUGAAAGCCCCGGGCUUAACCUGGGAAAGGCAUAGGUGACGGGAAGACUAGAGUGCGUUAGAGGGGGGUGGAA